AAUGACUCCCUACAAUGUCUUACACCAUUGGUGUAAGACAUUAAAACUUAUCAGGGGUUUUAAAUGUCUAAUGGUGUAAGACAUUGAAAGUUUUUAUUAAUGACUACAAUUGGAAGACAUUAAAAAUGGUGGAAGACGUUGGAAAUAGGUUGAGAAGUGGCCAGGGGGACAUCUAAUGUCUCCCACUGGGAGACGUGGGACACGUGGCACGUCUCCCACUGGGAGACAUUGAAUGUAUAGAGGGGUACAUCCAACGUCUCCCACUGGGAGACGUGGGACACGUGGCACGUCUCCCAGUGGGAGACGUUGGAUGUACCCCUCUAUACAUUCAAUGUCUCCCAGUGGGAGACGUGCCACGUGUCCCACGUCUCCCAGUGGGAGACGUUGGAUGUCCCCCUGGCCAUUUAAUGAAUUUUGGGUCUUCUUCUUCCUCAUAACACCAAACAGAGAGAGCACACCAAACAGAGAGCACGAAAGGGGUUGCGAUUUUAGGGUUUUCAAGGUUGUGAUUUUGGUGGUGAGAUUUUAGAGAGUACUUUGCAUCAAAACUUCUAUAUCUAUCAAUCACACAUUUGAGGUAAUUAAGUUUCUAAAAUUAUAAUAAUAAGUUAUAUAUUGCUAGAUAUUUAGUGAUAUUUUAUUUAUUAUUUAUUAAUUUAUUUAUAUUGGUUUGUGAAUUUAAUAGCGAAUUCGAUUACUACUUGAAGUAAUUUUGCUAGCUUUUGAAUUAUUAAUUGCAAGAGGUAAAUAUAUAUUCUCUUACUUCUACUUUUAAUAUUAUUAAACAAAUGUUAGAAGAGUUUGAAUAUCUUAAAUAUUCAUCCAUAGUGAAGUAGGUUAUGAGAUUAAAAUUGUGUGCUGCGGUGAUAACGGAAGGUUGAGAACUUGUGUGUAUUAGUGAAGUAGGUUCUGAGAAAUUUGACUGUGUGCUGCGGAGCUAUAAGGAAGAAACUUAUUGUAUGUUGUUUGAAUUGUUUGUUUUGCUAUUCACAUGUAGAUGGUUAGGUCACUAUUAUAGGGGAAAUGCUGCCCGAUUUUAUCUAGGAUAAUAAACAAUUAAUUUUAUAUAGGCAUUCUAUAAGGAAGAAACUUAUUGUAUGUUGUUUGAAUUGUUUGUUUUGUUAUUCACAUGCAGAUGGUUAGGUCACUAUUAUAGGGGAAAUGGUGCCCGAUAUUAUUUAGGAUAAUAAACGAUUAGUUGAGAACGGGCAUUACUUGAUUGAACAUGCAAGUCCCAGGCAUUACUUGAGAACGCUAACAAGCACAUCAUAUACAGAGGCACAAAUUGAUGAGUUGCGACAAGAAUGGGCGACAUAUAUGUUGCCGAUAAUCCAAAGUUACCGACCUCGUUGAUAGGUUUUUUUUUAAUUUUUUAACUCUUUCUUCAUACACAAUGCAAUAUUUGUUCAUUUUGAAUAUUUCUAACAAAUAUUGUAUUUCUUGUAUAUAUCUAACAAAUAUAUUUUUUUAUUUCAAUUUAAAUUAAUAUUAUUUCAAUUUAAUUAAUUUAAAUUUAGAUUAAAAUAAUUUCAAUUUAAAUUAAUAUUAUUUCAAUUUAAUUAAUUAUUAAAUUAAUUUCAAUUUAGAUUAAAAUAAUUUCAAUUUAAAUUAAAAUAAUUUCAAUUUAAAUUAAUAUUAUUUCAAUUUAAAUUAAUAUUAUUUCAAUUUAAUUAAUUAUUAAAUCAAAUUAAAAUAAUAUUAAUUAUAAAUUUAUUUAA